UGAGGAAUAUUGGUCAAUGGGCGGGAGCCUGAACCAGCCAAGCCGCGUGAGGGAGGAAGGCCCUAUGGGUCGUAAACCUCUUUUGUCAGGGAACAAAAGCGAGUAUGUAUACUAGUCUGAGUGUACCUGAAGAAAAAGCAUCGGCUAACUCCGUGCCAGCAGCCGCGGUAAUACGGAGGAUGCGAGCGUUAUCCGGAUUUAUUGGGUUUAAAGGGUGCGUAGGCGGCGGUGCAAGUCAGCGGUAAAAGCCCGGGGGCUCAACCCCGGCGAGCCGUUGAAACUGCAGUGCUAGAGAAGGCGAGAGGUACGCGGAAUGCGCAGUGUAGCGGUGAAAUGCUUAGAUAUUGCGCAGAACUCCGAUUGCGAAGGCAGCGUACUGGCGCCUGACUGACGCUGAGGCACGAAAGCGUGGGGAUCGAAUAGGAUUAGAUACC
rnacentral:rRNA from 1 species